AUGAAGACUCCCAUUGAGGUUCUCCUUAAUGAACAACCUGAUUAUACCUUUCUCAAGGUAUUUGGGUGUGCUUGCUGGCCGCAUCUUCGUCCAUAUAACAAGCGCAAGCUUGAGUUUCGUUCUAAGAAGUGUGUUUUUCUUGGCUAUAACUCUCUUCAUAAAGGUUACAAAUGUCUUCAUGUUCCCACUAAUCGUGUCUAUAUAUCUCGAGACGUCGUGUUUGAUGAGCAUGUUUUUCCCUUUGCCAACCUUCCUGUGUCCACUGUCGAACCACCAUCCCUGCAUUCAUCCUCUGUUGCUUCUGACCAAUUUGAUGAUGUUGCAUACUCUCCUUUGCUGUUACCUAACCAUGGUGCAGGAACCGGACGUGGAGCUCGUUUGGAGCUGUUGGAGGAUUCACCAUCAUCAUCGUCGUCUUCUGGUGGGCACGUCGAUCGCCCUAUGUUGCAUGGCAUCGAUUCGCGUGCCCAUGCAUGGUCACCCGACGAGCCCGUCGCGCCGAGCAUCUCCACUGCUCGGUCCGUUUCGCCAGCAGCCGCCGAGUCGCCCGCGGCUCGGCCCGUCACGCCGUCUUCGCCUGCGGCUCGGCCCGUCACGCCGUCUUCGCCCGCGGCUCGGGUCCUCACGUCGCCUUCAUCAGCGGAUCGGCCCGCGACACCGGCCGCGCCACGGCCCACUAUGCCGAGCUCGCCAUCGGCCCGGUCUGUGAUGCCGGAGUCGCCAGCUGCUUCGUCUGCUCUGCCGGUUUCGCCGGUGGGUCGGCCUUCUUCGCCAACCGAGUCCGAGGCUACCGUGACUGGCUCCUCGUCACCGGCUGACUCGUCAACGUCGCCGUCCUCCAGCCCGUUGCAGGCUGCUCCGUCGACCUCGGUGGUUCCUGUGUCCCGACCACAUACACGCAAUCGCAGUGGCAUUUCCAAACCUAAGGAACGUAAGGAUGGUACGGUUGCUUGGUUGGCUGCUUGUUUGGCUGCUGCUGUUGCGGAUCCAUCUUCUGAGCCUCGCUCAUAUCAGGCUGCCCUGCGCAUUCCACAUUGGCGAGAGGCUAUGGAGCAGGAGUUUCAUGCUCUUCUUUGUAACAAGACAUGGACUCUCGUUCCUCCACCACCACGGGUAAAUGUUAUUGACUCAAAAUGGGUAUUCAAAGUGAAGAAGCAUUUGGAUGGAUCUAUUGAGCGUUACAAAGCGCGACUUGUUGCUCGCGGUUUUCGGCAGUGUCAUGGUCUUGACUAUGAGGACACCUUCAGUCCUGUCGUCAAGCCUACCACUAUUCGGCUUCUUCUCUCCAUUGCUGUUUCUCGUGGUUGGUCACUUCGUCAACUUGAUGUGCAGAAUGCUUUUCUACAUGGAUUUUUGGAGGAAGAGGUUUAUAUGAAACAGCCGCCUGGUUUCUCUGAUCCUGAUCGUCCUGACUAUAUCUGUCGUCUUUCCAAAGCACUAUAUGGUUUGAAGCAAGCUCCUCGUGCCUGGCAUGCCCGCCUUGCCUCUGCCCUUCGUGCUCAUGGGUUUGUGCCGUCUACUGCUGACACUUUGUUAUUUCUUCUACAGCCAGAAGUCACUAUGUAUCUUUUGGUAUAUGUCGAUGAUAUUAUCCUUGUCAGCUCUUCUCAGUAUGCUGCUGAUGCUCUUGUCUGCUCUCUUGGUGCUGAUUUUGCGGUCAAAGAUCUUGGGAAGCUUCACUACUUUCUUGGAGUUGAGGUCACUUCUCGUGCUACUGGUCUUGUCCUUACGCAGAAGAAGUACUCCUUGGAGUUGUUACAGAGAGCUGGCAUGCUGAAGUGCAAACCGACCACCACACCCAUGUCGUCUACCGACAAGAUAACAGCUGUUGAUGGUGAGCUUUUGUCUCCUGCGGAUGCCACAGAGUACAGGAGCAUUGUUGGUGGACUUCAGUACUUGACGAUCACGAGACCAGAUAUCUCUUAUGCUGUUAACAGGGUUUGUCAGUAUCUUCAGGCUCCCAGAGAUACUCAUUGGGCUGCUGUUAAACGCAUUCUUCGUUAUGUUCAGUUCACCCUGACAUUUGGUAUGCAUAUUCGGCUGACUUCCUCUCGGGUCCUUUCGGCCUUCUCUGAUGCAGAUUGGGCUGGUAGCCCAGAUGACAGGCGAUCCACGGGGGGUUAUGCAGUAUUCUUUGGCUCUAAUUUGAUCGCCUGGAGUGCUCGGAAACAGGCUACUGUGUCACGUAGCAGUACUGAAGCUGAGUACAAGGCUGUGGCUAAUGCUACUGCAGAGAUUAUUUGGGUGCAGUCUUUGCUUCAGGAGUUGGGUUUGUCUCAACCACAGCCUCCUAUUCUUUGGUGUGAUAACAUCGGUGCUACAUACCUUUCUGCAAAUCCAGUAUUUCAUGCCCGAAUGAAACACAUUGAAGUUGACUAUCACUUUGUAUGGGAACGUGUAUCACAGAAGCAACUCCAGAUCAAGUUUAUCUCAUCUAAGGAUCAACUUGCAGACAUCUUCACUAAGCCUUUACCGCUGCCACAGUUUGAGGCUUGUAGGCGCAAUCUUACCCUUCUCAGUUCUUUAGAAAGUGGCUAA
rnacentral:rRNA from 1 species